CUCACCAUGUGAUAAUCUUCCCUAAUAUGGGACCCUGUAGAAAGUUCCCACCCAGAGAAAGGCCCUCGCCAGAUGAUCUCCUGGACCCUGUACUUCCAAGCCUCCCAAACUAGUAAUGUGUUGUCAUAAGCAUGGACUUGUGGCUUUAAAAGGAGAGCACAAGAAAGAGCUGUUGCCUGCAUUGCCACGGGAUCCUGUCGAGAGUCACCACCAAGAAGGUCCUCACCUGAUGCGCCUCCUGGACAGUGGCCUAUCCCGUCUACAAAACUAAGAGAUUGGCAUUUGAAUCAGUGGAAUGAGUAAGGAAGAUCCAGCCUCACCCAAUGUGGACAUGACCACCACAGAGAACCCCCACGAGAACAAUGCCCAGAGGAACCAUGGGGACAGGGCCACCUCCAAGACCCCAGACCAGCAGAGUCACCAGCAUACAACUUCAGCCUGGGAGAGCUGCAGGUGGCCUAUACAGGGAUUGAACUCUGGACUUUUAUGUUAUUAGCACCACACUCUGACCAACUGAGCUAACCUGACAGCCCUGAGAAAUAGGUUUCUUCUGCUACAACUUCAAAACCAUACUAUAAUAAUGAAAUCAAGUCUCGGACAGAAGGCAGCUAUAGAUACUAACAUUUCUCAAACAUCCCUUGUUGCUUUGCCUCCCACAAAUUUGUCACCCCUUUUCCUCUGGAUGAUGGAGCUGCCAAAAAUUACUCAAAGCCCAUCUCUUCUGAGCUGUGAGAAGCCUCAAAAAGGGGUUAAUCUCCCAGAACCCUCAAGAGUGAAGCAUUCCUUCCAUUUGGGAAAUUAACCACAAAUUGCGGUUCUCUUCCUACAUUUAUUCUCCAGACCAGGAAGUUACAGGAAGAGACAUAGGUGGUGUUUUUGCUAAGUACAGUUUAACAAGUUUAACAAUAGAAGCUGGUAACAUGCAAUUAAGUCAAUCCACUAGCAAAAGCUUGAUUUUAGCAAACAUUAUCUUCUUACAGCAAUUUCCCAGUAUCUUUACAUAUCAAUCAGUAACCUGUCUGUCUUUGAGCCAGCAACCUUGCUGUGUUACCAUUCUUUAUCUUACAACAGAAACUAUAUAGUCUGAGGAAAAUUUCCUGUCCUUUGCAAGGUCAAUAUUUGAAACUGAAAGGCUUUGGAAAACCAGGCUCUGUGAAGUACAUUUGCUUUAUGCAUACUCUACAGUCCCUUAGUAACAACACAAAAAUCCCUUUUCUGUGUCCUUAGCAACAUUCCAGUGCUCUUUGUUUUUUAGGCCAGGUUCUCUGACCCCAACUAAAAGCAAACACAACAAUAUUCUGGAGGCAGCAUUUAUGUAACUAUAAGUUCAGCAUCAGCAAUCAAAAUUCCCCAAGUAUGACAGUUAUCGUAGGGUUAUUUAAUGAAAGAUAAAAAUGAAAAGCUUGCUAGAUUUUCAAAUCUUGUUCUUGAAAAGAUAGAAACUCUCCUUAGAAUAUUUUAGCCAAUGUACUUAUUUUGAUUGCUGGUAAUUUUUCCAGUGAAAACACAUUUGUAACAUAUGUAGUGUUGGUCAGAGAAAAAGAUAUCUGAAGACACCUCUGGAGUGUGGAAUUUUGACUGACAUUCUCAAUUUAAUAAUUCUUGAUUUAGACCACCCUCCAUCUCUGCAAAAGGAGAUCAAACACUUACACACAUGUGUUUUUAUUGCCUGUCCAUACUGAAGUAUUUCCUAAUAAAUUACAGAUUAUUUAGUUGUCUCCCAGGCUUUAAACCAAUCUCUGUCUAAAAUACAGAUUCCUGGAUAUUUACCUCAACAUUGAGGUUUACAGGGUACUGACACAUGCCAUUCUCUUCAGGACUCUUUCUUGGCUGGAAAAAAUAAUAUAGAAAGAGUAUGUGGUUGAGAUGUCUGGUUGGUGCUUACCACAUCAGUUUAUCCUCUCCAACCUGGAUACAUGGGCCAACUUUCAAGCCCCUCUUGCAGUUAGUUACAGCCAUAUGACUAUCCAAGAAGCUUUGAAUGGAAGGAACUGUGUCAUUGUAUAUUAGAGGAGUUAAAAUUGUAUAAAUGGUCUGUAUUUUCUCACUCCUAAUAUGGCUAUUCCUUCAUCGCAUGUUGAGAUGCUCAUAUCACAAGAUGAUGAAGAAUAUAUAAGACUGAAUAAUAGAGAAGUAUAUGAAAAAGAACUCCUAACCUCAUCAAAAAUGUUUUGUAAGUGAAAGAUGAAAUUUUUUUAUGUUGAACCACUGAGCUUUCAAAGUUAAUUUAUACAGAAUAACUUGGCAGUCUUGAUUAAUAUAGAGAAAGAUCAAAAUACAUAAAAUUAACAAGCCAUAAUUAUUUUAUCUUAAGUAAAUACAAUUUGGGGAGAAAGA